ACGGGGAGAUACACAGAGAGACUCGUUUUUACCUGCUAGUUCAAAAUCCUCAAAAGAUCUCCCUCGGGCUGCUGAUCCAUAAUUUCCUAAGAGGAUGAAGAGCGUCGCUAUGUAAACGUGACGUUCCAUUUUCGUAACCAAACUGAAUUGGUCUGCCACUGCCACCUAGGAACUGUUUGGGCUUCCUGCCUUACAGCAUAUCAUCUUUAUUGAUGAGUGAAUGAUAAGAUACUACGCAAUUACCCCGUCAUUUAAAGGUCAACAGCUAAAGAUUGUAUGGCCGUGAUCGAAACCACCAGAUGAAGGCUACCCAAAGAAAAGGUUUCAACUCGUCAGUGAAGUUAAGAAUCAGGGAAUAGCUAAGAUUCUGAACAAGACUGGACUAGAUUACAAAUGAAAAAGUUUACUUGAAGCAAGUGACAUCAAAGUACAUUUUGAGUCAACAGAGUCAUCAAAGAUUACAGCCCGAUUCAUGGACCGAAAAGCCUCAGACUUUCAAAAGGAGGUAAUUUUGAAUAACGUUGUUGGACUCAAGUCCUCUCAUCCGCUGAAGCAUAUUCUGGAACAACUAACUACCUGGUGUUAAUUUUACUGAAGAUCAAGAGAGACAAAUAGACGGAAAGGU